UCAGGUUUUUCAUCUGAAAGGACAAAAGAAUGAGGAUGAAAUUAAAACAACCCUACAGGAACUCAAAUAUCAGCUGGAGAAAAAUGCUACUAAUGAAACAUCGUAUUCCACCAUCUGCAUCUCUCAUGGCAACAGCACACAUUCAGUUUUAAAUGUGAAAGGACAAAAGAAUGAGGAUGAAAUGAAAACAAUCCUGCAGGACCUCAAAAAUCUACUUACCAAAAACGCUGAUAAAUUAAUGUUGGAUUCAACCAUCUCCAUCUCUCAUGGCAACAACACACAAUCAGUGAGUCACUAUGGAGUAAUAAUUUCACUUUUUGUUUUUUU